rnacentral:rRNA from 1 species
AAUAUUGGUCAAUGAGCGCAAGCCUGAACCAGCCAUCCCGCGUGAAGGAAGAAUGCGCUACGCGUUGUAAACUUCUUUUCCAGGGGGAGAAUUUUCCUGUCGAGACAGGGAUUGACGGUACCCUGGGAAUAAGCAUCGGCUAACUCCGUGCCAGCAGCCGCGGUAAUACGGAGGAUGCGAGCGUUAUCCGGAUUUACUGGGUUUAAAGGGUGCGUAGGCGGAUUGAUAAGUCAGUGGUGAAAUUCUGCAGCUUAA